UACGGAGGGAGCUAGCGUUGUUCGGAAUUACUGGGCGUAAAGCGCACGUAGGCGGCUUUGUAAGUCGGGGGUGAAAUCCUGGAGCUCAACUCCAGAACUGCCUUCGAUACUGGCGAUCUUGAGUCCGGGAGAGGUGAGUGGAACUCCGAGUGUAGAGGUGAAAUUCGUAGAUAUUCGGAAGAACACCAGUGGCGAAGGCGGCUCACUGGCCCGGUACUGACGCUGAGGUGCGAAAGCGUGGGGAGCAAACAGG
rnacentral:rRNA from 1 species